CGCGCCCUACGGGGCGCAGCAGUGAGGAAUAUUGGUCAAUGGGAGAGAUCCUGAACCAGCCAAGCCGCGUGAGGGAAGACGGCCCUAUGGGUUGUAAACCUCUUUUGUCGGAGAACAAAACCCGGGACGAGUCCCGGACUGCGUGUAUCCGAAGAAAAAGCAUCGGCUAACUCCGUGCCAGCAGCCGCGGUAAUACGGAGGAUGCGAGCGUUAUCCGGAUUUAUUGGGUUUAAAGGGUUCGUAGGCGGACAGUUAAGUCAGCGGUAAAAAUGCGGUGCUCAACGCCGUACAGCCGUUGAAACUGG
rnacentral:rRNA from 1 species